rnacentral:lncRNA from 1 species
UGGUGAAAGGAAAGGGCAACAUCCUGCCCAGCCUCCACAUCACAGAAGCUGUCGUCCCUUAAAGUUGACACGCAGAUGCCAUUGGCUCAGGAGGACAGCAUCGACUUCGUUAUUGGUCAUCAAAGGACGAUGGAAAGGCCUCUUCGGAGUCUACAUGGGGUCUGCAGUGAGCGAGGACGAGGGAAGAAAAGGAUGAAGGAUGUGCGGCGGCACCUCUCCCAGAAACUGGCGGAUUGCCAGAGAAAGUAGAACAAUGCUCAGUUCGAACUAUAAAAAAUUUGAAUGACA